GUAAAUGUCUGUCAGGUUUGCUUGUUCUUGGUCUGAGUUCAAGCCCUGGAUAUCCUUGUUGAUUUUCUGUCUGGUUGAUCUGUCUAAUAUUGACAGUGGAGUGUUAAAGUCUCCCACUAUUAUUGUGUGGGAGUCUAAGCCUCUUUGCGGUGCUCCUGCAUUGGGUCCAUAUAUGUUUAGGAUCGUUAGCUCUUCUUGUUUUCUUGAUCCUUUUACCAUUAUGUAAUGGCCUUCUUUGUCUCUUUUGAUCUUUGUUGCUUUAAAGUCUAUUUUAUCAGAGAUGAGAAUUGCAACUCCUUCUUUUUUUUUUUUCUCUCUUCAUUUGCUUGGUAAAUCUUCCUCCAUCCCUUAAUUUUGAGCCUUUGUGUAUCCUUGCAUGUGAGAUGGGUUUCCUGGAUACAGCACACUGAUGGGUUUUGGAUUUUUAUCCAAUUUGCCAGUCUGUGUCUUUUGAUUGGUGCAUUUAGUCCAUUUACAUUUAGGGUUAAUAUUGUAAUGUGUGAAUUUGAUACUGCCAUUUUGAUGCUACGUGGCUGUUUUGCCUGUUAGUUGUUGUAGAUUCUUCAUUAUGUUGAUGCUCUUUAGCAUUUAGUGUGAUUUUGGAAUCGCUGGUACUGGUUGUUCCUUUGUAUGUGUAGUGCCUCUUUUAGGAGCUCUUGUAAAGCUGGCCUGGUGGUGACAAAAUCUCUGAGUACUUGCUUGUUCGCAAAGGAUUUUAUUUUUCCUUCACUUCUGAAGCUCAGUUUGGCUGGAUAUGAAAUUCUGAGUUGAAAGUUCUUUUCUUUAAAAAUGAUGAAUAUUGGCCCCCACUCUCUUCUGGCUUGUAGUGUUUCUGCCGAGAGAUCUGCUGUGAGUCUGAUGGGCUUCCCUUUGUGGGUAACCUGACCUUUCUCUCUGGCUGUCCUUAGUAUUUUCUCCUUUAUUUCAACCUUGUUGAAUCUGACGAUUAUGUGCCUUGGAGUUGCUCUUCUGGCAGAAUAUCUUUGUGGUGUUCUCUGUAUUUCCUGCAUUUGAGUGUUGGCCUGUCUUGCUAGGUGGGGGAAGUUUUCCUGGAUGAUGUCCUGAAGAGUAUUUUCCAGCUUGGCUUCAUUCUCUUCGUCCCCUUCUGGUACACCUAUCAAACGUAGGUUAGUUCUUUUCACAUAGUCCCACAUUUCUUGGAGACUUUGUUCAUUCCUUUUUGCGCUUUUUUCUCUAAUCUUGGUUUCUCGUUUUAUUUCAUUGAGUUGGUAUUCGACUUCAGAUAUUCUUUCUUCUGCUUGGUCAAUUCGGCUAUUGAAACUUGUGCAUGCUUCACAAAGUUCUCUUAUUGUGUUUUUCAGCUCCUUUAAUUCAUUCAUAUUCCUCUCUAAUUUAUCCAUUCUUGUUAUCAUUUCCUCAUAUGUUUUUUUAAGUUCCUUAGUUUUUUGCAUUGAUUUAAUAUAUGUUCUUUUAGCUCACAAAAGUUUCUCAUUAUCCACCUUCUGAAGUCUAAUUCCAUCAUUUCAUCACAGUCAUUCUCUGUCCAGCUUUGUUCCCUUGCUGGUGAGGAGUUUUGGUCCUUUCUAGGAGGUGAUGUGUUCUGGUUUCGGGUGUUUUCCUCCUCUUUUCGCUGGUUUCUUCCCAUCUUUGUGGGUUUAUCCGCUUGUCUACUGCGUAGUUUCUGACUUUUCAAUUGGGUCUCUGAGUGCACACCCAGAUUGUUGAUGAUGAAGUAUUUCUGUUACUUGGUUUUUCUUCUACCAGCCUAGCCCCUUCACUGUAUGACUGCUGAGGUCCACUCCAGGCCCUGCUUGUCUGGGGUGCACCUCUAGCAUCUGUGCCACAGCGAGGGAUGCUACCAGUUUCUUUUUCUUCUAUCUUUGUCCCAGAAUGAUGCCUGCCAAAUGUCAGUCUUUUGGAUAUAGAGGGGUCAGGGAGCUGCUUGAGGAGACAGUCUGUACUUUUUAGGAGCUCCAUUGCUGAGCUGUGAGCUCUGUUGUUCAUUCAGGGCUGUUAGGCUGCUAUGUUUGAUUCUGCUGCAACAGAGCUCUUUAAAAAACCCCUUUUUUUCUCAAAUGCUCUGUGUUGG
ensembl:lncRNA